rnacentral:lncRNA from 1 species
CGAAAAACACUGUAAAACAUCUUUAACGUCUAUAUGUUCAAUUGUAUUUUAUUUUAAAGAUGUUAUUUCAUAUAAUUUCUAGUCUGUUCUUCAUGAAAUGUCCACAUAAUGUUAUAAGCUGUUUCAUGGCCUUCAUGUUAGUAUGGAGAAAUGGGGUAAUGUUAGGUAGUAUUAGUGGUCAGCAGAGCACUAUAAACACUGUAAACGGUUUGUUGUGUUUUAUCUACAGGGGUGUUGAUUCUGCUGGUGUUGCUGAUAGUGGUGUUGACCGUCUCUGCUCUGCUGCUGAGGCCUAAUCGCUCCAGUCUCAUCGCUAAAGGAAGGCCGAAGCCUAAAUGGCGCAGCUUGGGGGAACCCAAGGUUCCUAUGGAGUAUGUUUACAGUGGAGACUGCAGUGGUAUGCUCGGGUUCAGGGGAGUGGGUGAAGGAGCAGAAGCAGAAGAACCUGCUGUGUGCAAAGGAUACAAGAAUGCACUGAUUGAGUUGGAGGAGUUUAAUGUAAAAACGCUGUACGACAAAUUAGAGGAUCAGAAUUUACACCUGGCAUCACAGCUGGCGAAGCAUCGCAAAGACACGCAGGAGUUCUACAGGAACAUGUGCCAGCAGACCGACGCCCUGCGGGAGACCUUGGAGAAUAUGGAGCCUUCAAAGCGGAUCCAGUGGAAGAAGAUUAUGGCCAGUGAGGCACAAGCUAAACAAGAAUCCAUUAGAGGUUUGAGUCUUAUGAUGAAUUUAUGAACUCCUGAAAUGUGUUAUCAGGGUAGAAAACAUUUUUUAGAAUAGAAUAUGUGAAAUAUACAAGGAAAAUACAUAAAAUACAUGGAGCUGCUCAUUGAGCUCCAUUGGCUACCAGUUGCUNCAGCGUCUCAGUUGGGUUCAGGAGGUCAGGACUCUCCAGAAGGAGUAUUUAUUUAUUUUCUUCUGUUGAAGUCGUUCGGUUGUUGAUUUACUUCUAUGUUUUGGGUCGUUGUUCUGUUGCAUCAUCCAUCCUCUGUUGAGCUUCAGUUGGAGGACAGAGGGUCUUAGGUUUUCCUGCAAAAUGUCUUGGUAAACUUGGGAAUGAAUUUUUUCGUUGAGGAGGGCAAUCCGUCCAGACCCUGAGGCAGCAAAGCAGCCCCAAACCACGAUGCCCCCUCCACCAUGUUUCACAGUUGGGAUGAGGUUGUGCUCUGCCUUAUCUUUAUCCACACAUAACAUUGUGUUUUCCUUCCAAACUACUUUAAUUUUGGUUUCAUGUGUCCAGAGUAUAUUUAGCCAGUAGUGCUAUAGUGGAACAUCCAGGUGCUCUUUUGCAAACUUCAAACAUACAGUAAUGUUUUUUUUUUGGCUUCCUCCGUGGUGUCCUCCCAUGAACUCCACUCUUGUUUAAUGUUUUCCUUAUUGUAGAUUUGUCAACAAAAAUGUGAGCACGUGCCAGAGAUUUCUGUAUUCAG